rnacentral:tRNA from 1 species
GUAAAAUUAGUUUAAAUUAAAAUGGUAAAUUGUGGUUUUACAGAUAUUAUAUUUUAUUAUUUUACU